GACGAACGCUGGCGGCGUGCCUAAUACAUGCAAGUAGAACGCACAGUUUAUACCGUAGCUUGCUACACCAUAGACUGUGAGUUGCGAACGGGUGAGUAACGCGUAGGUAACCUGCCUGGUAGCGGGGGAUAACUAUUGGAAACGAUAGCUAAUACCGCAUAAUAUUCAUUAUUGCAUGAUAAUUAAUUGAAAGGUGCAAUUGCACCACUACCAGAUGGACCUGCGUUGUAUUAGCUAGUAGGUGAGGUAACGGCUCACCUAGGCGACGAAACAUAGCCGAACUGAGAGGGUGAUCGGCCCCACUGGGACGGAGACACGGCCCAGACGCCUACGGGAGGCAGCAGUAGGGAAUCUUCGGCAAGGGACGAAAGUCUGACCGAGCAACGCCGCGUGAGUGAAGAAGGUUGUCGGAUCGUAAAGCUCGGUUGUAAGAGAAGAACGGGUGUGAGAGUGGAAAGUUCACACUGUGACGGUAACUGACCAGAAAGGGACGGCUAACUACGUG
rnacentral:rRNA from 1 species